rnacentral:hammerhead_ribozyme from 1 species
GCACUGUUGAGGAGUCCCACAAUAGGACGAAACAGUCGUCCAGUGC